UACGUAGGCAGCAAGCGUUGUUCGGAAUUACUGGGCGUAAAGAGCGUGUAGGCGGCCAGACAGGUCCGUUGUGAAAACUCGAGGCUCAACCUCGAGACGCCGAUGGAAACCGUCUGGCUAGAGUCCGGAAGAGGAGAGUGGAAUUCCGUGGAUGUAGGCGGUGAAAUGCGCAGAUAUCAAGGAAGAACACCCGUGGCUAAGGCGGCGUCUCUAGUACGGUACUCGACGCUGAGACGCGAAAGCGUGGGGAGCGAACAGG
rnacentral:rRNA from 1 species